rnacentral:rRNA from 1 species
UGGCGGCAGGCCUAACACAUGCAAGUCGAGCGGUAGAGAGAAGCUUGCUUCUCUUGAGAGCGGCGGACGGGUGAGUAAUGCCUAGGAAUCUGCCUGGUAGUGGGGGAUAACGUUCGGAAACGGACGCUAAUACCGCAUACGUCCUACGGGAGAAAGCAGGGGACCUUCGGGCCUUGCGCUAUCAGAUGAGCCUAGGUCGGAUUAGCUAGUUGGUGGGGUAAUGGCUCACCAAGGCGACGAUCCGUAACUGGUCUGAGAGGAUGAUCAGUCACACUGGAACUGAGACACGGUCCAGACUCCUACGGGAGGCAGCAGUGGGGAAUAUUGGACAAUGGGCGAAAGCCUGAUCCAGCCAUGCCGCGUGUGUGAAGAAGGUCUUCGGUUUGUAGAGCACUUUAAGUUGGGAGGAAGGGUUGUAGA